rnacentral:rRNA from 1 species
AUGGGGGGUUCUGACAACCCGGAGAUUCCCAGCCCAGCUCAACCGGCCGAUGACCCGGAUGUGGUGAUUACCCGGACCGAAUAUGUUGAGCCGGGAAGACCCACUGUGCUGGCUAGAUGCUCUGCUAAAGAAGAACUGCUAGAGCGCCGCAGGGCCAGACUGGAUAUCACAGACUAUGCUAACUUGAGCAUUGGAGAUAUUGUUGCUGGUUAUAUUGGUCAAGUGCACAACAGCCGGGACCUGGAAAUUGACAUGGUGAAGCAGAUACAGCAAAAAUCUGAGGCUGCCUGCAAAAAACUUGAGUCAGAAAUCUCUGAUCUGAAGACCCGCCUGAAGACUCAGGAAAAGGAGACCUAG